UACGUAGGUGGCAAGCGUUGUCCGGAUUUACUGGGCGUAAAGAGCGCGCAGGCGGUCGUCCAAGUCGCGUGUGAAAGCCCCCGGCUCAACCGGGGAAGGGGCCGCGAACUGCCAUUCUUGAGGGGGAGAGGGGAGAGUGGAAUUCCUGGUGUAGCGGUGAAAUGCGCAGAUAUCAGGAGGAACACCAAUGGCGAAGGCAGCUCGCUGGGACGGUACUGACGCUGAGACGCGAAAGCGUGGGGAGCAAACAGG
rnacentral:rRNA from 1 species